rnacentral:rRNA from 1 species
GAUGAACGCUGGCGGCGUGCCUAAUACAUGCCAGUCGAGCGAACAGACGAGGAGCUUGCUCCUCUGACGUUAGCGGCGGACGGGUGAGUAACACGUGGAUAACCUACCUAUAAGACUGGGAUAACUUCGGGAAACCGGAGCUAAUACCGGAUAAUAUAUUGAACCGCAUGGUUCAAUAGUGAAAGACGGUUUUGCUGUCACUUAUAGAUGGAUCCGCGCCGCAUUAGCUAGUUGGUAAGGUAACGGCUUACCAAGGCAACGAUGCGUAGCCGACCUGAGAGGGUGAGCGGCCACACUGGAACUGAGACACGGUCCAGACUCCUACGGGAGGCAGCAGUAGGGAAUCUUCCGCAAUGGGCGAAAGCUUGACGGAGCAACGCCGCGUGAGUGAUGAAGGUCUUCGGAUCGUAAAACUCUGUUAUUAGGGAAGAACAAAUGUGUAAGUAACUAUGCACGUCUUGACGGUACCUAAUCAGAAAGCCACGGCUAACUACGUG